CAAACUUGAACACCAACUUACGCCAUACACAAAUAUAAACUCAAGAUUUAUAAAAGACUUAAAUAUAAGUUGCAACACAAUGAAAGUCCUAGAGGAGAAUGUAGGUAGGA